GUGCCCAUGGACCGCUCCAGAAUUAAGGGCCUGGAAGAGCUUGCCAUGUGGAGAUGGUUGAAACUAGAGAACAUGCGUCAAAACUUCUGAAAGAAAAAUGCUGUAAGGGAGUCCUAAGGGAUUCAUCUUUUGAGAGCAGGAAUGUGCUGCUGGUCAGAAUACUCCUUCUCAGUGAAAAACCUGAAUAAGAUAUCUGAGAAAUAAGUGAAGAUACUCUGGGAUAGCAUCAUGUUCUGCCCUUCCCUUUGGAUUCUGCACUAUGGAUGUAGUGUCCUGGCUCAGUCACUUCCUUGCCCACCCUCAUUCUGCUUGCUGACAGGACAAUGUGAGCAGCAGAAAAGGUCUCAACACAUUUCAAGUGCUGUUCAGCAACAACUAACACAUCCCUGUGUUAGCAACGCUGUUCUGGUCAUAAAUGAAAAGCAGCAACAUGUGUUCUCUACGAAGAAAAUUAAUUCUCUCCCAGCCAAAAGCAGUAGGGUGGGUUGCCAGACUGCACUAAAAAUUAUUAGUGUGAUUUGUAGAAAGGGGAUCACACUUAAGGGGUGAGAUCUUUGGAAAAUUAUAC